AGCCGUCACACGGAAUCGA
rnacentral:snRNA from 1 species